CUACACACAAAGAGAUACAGCUGUGUUGUCCCUCGUGCAGCAGAAUGAGUCAUCCAACACCUGAAAUCCAGUCGAGGAGACGUGAUUCAUCUCGUCUGCCUCUCUGGUGUUUCACAGUGGGAAGCUGCUGUAGCUACAGCUGGAAGCUCGGUGGAGACUUGGGGAGGUGCUCCUGCUCGGAGUUAAGCUGAACAAGGACGAACUUUUAAGUGCACCAAAUAGGAUUAGACAAGACUGGACUACUUUAAAGGAUUUUCUCCUGAGCUACAAUCAUUUCAGGAUCUGAGCAAAUGGCGUCAAUCAUACCUGUGUCAUUUGAGACUAUUGAAAGACACAAGCUGCAUGCACAAAUGUCUAAGUGUCUGUUCCUGUUUUAGUUCCCCUUUACAUUUGGUGUAAAGAGAAUCUGUAGUCCAAUCUACUCCUGAGGUGCACUCAAACUGAGUCUAGAAAUUUAAGUCUUGCUGUGGGAAGCAUGGUUUAAAAAGGGAGUAAGCUGUUCAGGAUUGUGAGCAUUUUACGGGUCAGUUGGUACCUUUUGCUGUGCCAGCACUAAAGACAGAUGCAUGCGCUUCCAGCUCAGAGCUGCUCAAGUCUUAAAAACCCAUAAACAUAAUGGAGGACACAUUAAAGUCAAUUUACAUUUUUUAUUUUUGCAUAUUUAACAAACUUGUGCAUUCCAGAUUUUUACAAAAAACCCAAACACAUUGCUUGCUUGGUUAACAUUUCACAAGUGGCGUGAGAGUACGGCUGCUACAAAUAAAAAAAACAAAAGUGCAGGGUCCCCUCAGAUGUUUCACACGCCUGCUCUUCAAAUGCAACACCAGAGAUGCAGCCACAGCGACAAGAUUAGCAGGAAACCACGCUGAAGUCAGACACUUCCACUGUACGGCGAGACAUCUAGGCAAGUGAGUGGGGGGGUUGAAGGGGUGAGGGUUGUACAGCCAUUGCUUUGUCAAUUUGUUAAGUACUUCAACUUGGGGGGUACAUGAUGGAAAAGGUUGGAAAAAAAA